CAGCAGUAGCCGCGGUAAUACGGAGGAUCCAAGCGUUAUCCGGAAUCAUUGGGUUUAAAGGGUCCGUAGGCGGUCUUGUAAGUCAGUGGUGAAAGCCCAUCGCUCAACGGUGGAACGGCCAUUGAUACUGCAGGACUUGAAUUAUUGGGAAGUAACUAGAAUAUGUAGUGUAGCGGUGAAAUGCUUAGAGAUUACAUGGAAUACCAAUUGCGAAGGCAGGUUACUACCAAUUGAUUGACGCUGAUGGACGAAAGCGUGGGUAGCGAACAGGAUUAGAUACCCGCGUAGUCCCUGUCUCUUAUAC
rnacentral:rRNA from 1 species